AUGACAACAACACCAAUGCUAGCCCUCCCAGAUUUUUCUCUACCGUUCACAGUCGAGAUCGAUGCGUGUGCAACCGGCGUUGGUGCUGUUUUGUCCCAGCAGGGUCACCCUAUUGCCUUUCUGAGUCGUGCGCUAGGGGUCAACAAUCUCAAACUGUCAGUUUAUGAGAAAGAGUUCCUUGCAGUUAUGAUGGCCAUUGAUCGCCGGCGGCCAUACUUACAACGGGAUCCAUUUACAAUCAUGACGGAUCACAAGAGCUUAUGCACAUUAGGGGAACAGCAACUCGGCUCCGGUCUACAUCACAAAGCCAUGGCUAAGUUGGGUGGCUUACAGUUUCAAUUCAAGUUCAGACGUGGCGUGGACAACACUGCAGCAGACUCGUUGUCCCGGAUUGGCCAUCUGCUUACCAUCGUAACAACAUCCACAUGUCAACCAUCAUGGAUUCAAGAGGUACGGAACUCAUAUCAACCUGAUGCUAAAGCUACUGACUUAUGCGAGCAUUGGCUCUCCACAGUCCAGACGAUCACAGGCAGGAAUUGGACAGAGGCAUGA
rnacentral:rRNA from 1 species